rnacentral:rRNA from 1 species
UCCUACGGGGGAGGCAGCAGUAGGGAAUCUUCCGCAAUGGACGAAAGUCUGACGGAGCAACGCCGCGUGAGCGAAGAAGGCCUUCGGGUCGUAAAGCUCUGUUGUAAGGGAAGAACAAGCAUCGGUUAACUGCCGGUGCCCUGACGGUACCUUACCAGAAAGCCACGGCUAACUACGUGCCAGCAGCCGCGGUAAUACGUAGGUGGCAAGCGUUGUCCGGAAUUAUUGGGCGUAAAGCGCGCGCAGGCGGUUUUUUAAGUCUGAUGUGAAAGCCCACGGCUCAACCGUGGAGGGUCAUUGGAAACUGGGAGACUUGAGUGCAGAAGAGGAAAGCGGAAUUCCACGUGUAGCGGUGAAAUGCGUAGAGAUGUGGAGGAACACCAGUGGCGAAGGCGGCUUUCUGGUCUGUAACUGACGCUGAGGCGCGAAAGCGUGGGGAGCAAACAGGAUUAGAUACCCUGGUAGUCCACGCCGUAAACGAUGAGUGCUAAGUGUUAGGGGGUUUCCGCCCCUUAGUGCUGCAGCUAACGCAUUAAGCACUCCGCCUGGGGAGUACGGCCGCAAGGCUGAAACUCAAGAA